UCAUCACCAUCAUCAUCAUCAUCAUCAUCAUCAUCAUCAUCAUCAUCAUCAUCAUCAUCAUCACUAUUUGUCUGGGAGAGAGGGCUCCUGGACAGACUUGUGUGGA
rnacentral:miRNA from 10 species